rnacentral:rRNA from 1 species
GACGAACGCUGGCGGCGCGCCUAACACAUGCAAGUCGAGCGAGAACCAGGCCUUCGGGCCUGGGGACAGCGGCGAACGGGUGAGUAACACGUGAGUAAUCAACCCUCGGCACCGGGAUAGCCCGGGGAAACCCGGAUUAAUACCGGAUGGCCCAUCCGCUUUUCGGAGCGGCUGGAAAAGGUAGCUUCGGCCUCUGGCCGAGGACGAGCUCGCGGCCGAUUAGCUUGUUGGUGGGGUAAUGGCUCACCAAGGCUCCGAUCGGUAGCUGGUCUGAGAGGACGAUCAGCCACACUGGGACUGAGACACGGCCCAGACUCCUACGGGAGGCAGCAGUGGGGAAUCUUGCGCAAUAGGGGAAACCCUGACGCAGCGACGCCGCGUGCGGGAAGAAGGCCUUCGGGUUGUAAACCGCUUUCAGGAGGGACGAAGCUACUCGGGUGAAUAGCCCAGAGGGUGACGGUACCUCCAGAAGAAGCCCCGGCUAACUACGUGCCAGCCGCCGCCGUAACAC